rnacentral:rRNA from 1 species
UACGUAGGGCGCAAGCGUUAUCCGGAAUUCUUGGGCGUAAAGAGCUCGUAGGCGGUUUGUCGCGUCUGCUGUGAAAGACCGGGGCUCAACUCCGGUUCUGCAGUGGGUACGGGCAGACUAGAGUGAUGUAGGGGAGACUGGAAUUCCUGGUGUAGCGGUGAAAUGCGCAGAUAUCAGGAGGAACACCGAUGGCGAAGGCAGGUCUCUGGGCAUUAACUGACGCUGAGGAGCGAAAGCAUGGGGAGCGAACAGG